AAAAUACGGGAGGCAGCAGUGAGGAAUAUUGGUCAAUGGGCGGAAGCCUGAACCAGCCAAGUAGCGUGCAGGAUGACGGCCCUAUGGGUUGUAAACUGCUUUUAUGCGGGGAUAAAGGAGCCCACGUGUGGGUUUUUGCAGGUACCGCAUGAAUAAGGACCGGCUAAUUCCGUGCCAGCAGCCGCGGUAAUUUUU
rnacentral:rRNA from 1 species